rnacentral:lncRNA from 1 species
AUCUCUCAUCACUCUCUUACGCCCCCUCAGAGAUACACCGGAACCCUAGCGCCGUCACCAGUUCCCACCGCCUUAGGGUGGCGGCGCCGCCUCCAAAAGCCACAAAAAGUACACCCCAAUAACUCCUUUACUUCCUCUUCCCAAAUAUCUACCAUGUAUCCUUCGAAUCCCAUUAAUUCGUCUCGAAUCUUGAUCUGAAGUCAUAAACCCUAGCGCCGACAAAAUUUAUCCGGUGGCGGCGCCGUUUCUGUUCGACCCCAAAAUUACACCAUUGAACCCCCGUCUCUUCCUAAUUCCAAAUCCCCACUCAUAGUCCUUUGAACAUCCCUGUAGCUCCUCAAAUUCAAAUAAAAAAUUGAGCCCUAAGAGCCUGAGGACGGAUUCAUGCAUGCAAGUCGUCUUCAGAGUUUUUGGGUCGUUCCUGUUUGGUUUUGGCAUGAAUAGUGAUGCCCAUUUGAUCUUCACCAAGAACAAAUGUUCAUCACUACAUUGGGUCGAACCAUAGCUUCAAUAUGGAUUUCGAGUUCGCUUGGUAUGUUCUUCUUUUUGUUCGUUUCAUUUCUCAACUUUCUUCCUUUCUUUUCCGAUUGCCUCGACUAAAUUUGUCUUUUGUGAAUAGGUUUAGGUUUAGUUGUCCUUCCAUUAGAUUAAUUUGGAGUUAGUAUUUAAUUCUGGUCGUUUAUAGUUUUCUUCGCAAAUCCCUGAAACCUCUUCGUUAACCUUGUUUGCCCUUUAUUUGGUUAUAGAAUUAAACCUCUGAUUUCCUUUUUGAUUAGUUUUUUUAGUUCGGGAUUAUUAUGUUGAUUUUGUAAUUUCAUUAAACUUUUACCUAGUUGUGAAUUGAUCAUUGUUUGAGUUAGGAUUACUGUUGAAAUCAUGUUAUGAUAUUUGGGUCUGUAAUGCAUUCUUUUUAAUUGGUUAAGUGCAAUUGGGUUCUGGGCUGUCUCUGAGUCAAUUGGAAAAGAGCAACCCACCCAAUUUGGUUUAGUUUAUUGGGUCAAAUUUUGACCUAUCAUGGCCUGGUUCUCAAAGUAAAAUUCAGGGUAUUGGAAGGUAGUGUACGUAAUCUGACCAAGGAAUCUUUGUUAACAGUUUUCAGAAACUUCUAUUAGCGGUUUGCUAGAAAUUUUUAGAUAUAACUUGUCUAGCAAGUCACAAAAUGAGGGAAUAAAGGGCAAUAUGAAUUUUUGUAGGUGGCCCUAAUGUUUAACCUAUAAAAGGCAUGAAAACUUAAGCAAAAAGGGGGAUUUUUCAUUUUUGAAAUAAAAAAAAUUCAGAUAACAAUCACAAGACAACCAAAAUACUACAUCAUUAGGUGUUUCUUCAUGAUCUUUGAGUCAUUCAAUUUCUGAAAAACAACAUUGCUUCAAUUUGCGAAACUUGAAAUGGGCUAACAUUAAUAUUGGAAAGUUUUGGGGUCAAGUUUUUAGGCCAGUUGAGUGAAGUUACUGUUCCAUUGGUUUUUUUUGAGUUUCCUGGUUUCAUUCACUAAACCUGAGGCUGUAUGUUUCUUGUUGAAUUCUACCGCUGCUGUUAUUCUUUGCUCUCACUACCCUCUGUUUUGCUCUUUCAAAUCCCCAGGUAUUUCUUUUCCUCAUGGUUGAAGUGCGAUUGCUGAUACAUGUAAAGAUCUAAAGUUUGGUCAAAUGAAGACCCUGUUUGAAGCUGAUUUCCCUUUGUCCUUUACUAUUUACAUGUUUUUGUAAUUAUAUUUCAAGUUAUAGAUAUUGAUUAAGACCUCUUCCUUUCCCGUGAAUUUGAGCAUGCGAAAGUGAUCUGGUGUAGUGUUUUUCAUCUGUAUCACCAAGUAAACAAUGGACUUUGAUUAUUCAUGUUUAUGUGUGAUCCUAGCUCUUUUAGUUCUCUGUUGAGAAUCAUUCAGGUUCUAAUUUUGAAGGAUUGAAUGUUGGCCUGCGUGUGUACUGUCGUAUGCCAAUAUAGUUUUGUAAGCAUGAUUACAUUGUCUUGAGUUUUCUCCUUGUUUUUUGGGCUUGGUUCUAAAUUUACAUAGUUUUAGGUAUGGUCAUUCGAGCAGUAAAUCACAUGUUAUAUGAGCAUGGUAUAUUUGAGUCAUUUAAAUAUUGAGUGUGGCAUAAGUUGACUAAUCAGCAGGUUCGAGUCUCAAGUGCC